AGUGAACGCUGGCGGUAGGCCUAACACAUGCAAGUCGAACGGCAGCACAGUAAGAGCUUGCUCUUAAGGGUGGCGAGUGGCGGACGGGUGAGGAAUACAUCGGAAUCUACUUUUUCGUGGGGGAUAACGUAGGGAAACUUACGCUAAUACCGCAUACGACCUACGGGUGAAAGCAGGGGAUCUUCGGACCUUGCGCGAUUGAAUGAGCCGAUGUCGGAUUAGCUAGUUGGCGGGGUAAAGGCUCACCAAGGCGACGAUCCGUAGCUGGUCUGAGAGGAUGAUCAGCCACACUGGAACUGAGACACGGUCCAGACUCCUACGGGAGGCAGCAGUGGGGAAUAUUGGACAAUGGGCGCAAGCCUGAUCCAGCCAUACCGCGUGGGUGAAGAGGGUCUUCGGGUUGUAAAGCCCUUUUGUUGGGAAAGAAAAGCAGCAGGUGAAUACCCCGCUGUUCUGACGGUACCCAAAGAAUAAGCACCGGCUAACUUCGUG
rnacentral:rRNA from 1 species